CAAGCAGAAAUUAACAUGUGGAUGAUAUUAUCCUAUGUCAUGAUAAUUAUUUUGUCAAUGAACAAAUUAAAAAUGGAAAUGCUUAUUUUUGGAAAAGCUUUCUUAUUGGUUGGAUUUCUAUGGAUCCACUACACCUACUUUGAUUUGGCCUUCGGGCCUAUUCUUUUGUCCAGUCUUACAGUUUUAUUUUUGAUAAGACAAAAUCCAUAUGCCUGCUUGAUUUGGAUAGAGCCUCUGAUCUUCUCAACAAAAUGAUAUCCAUCCAAGGUGGAUAUGAUAGGAUUUGUCUGGAUAUUGAAUUUCAAUGUCCUUUUCUCGGUUAAAAAUGCUUAUAAGCAUUUUUAUCAAAUAAAUUACAGUACUUUUAUGCGGGAUCUUCAACAAGCUCCAUGGAAAAUUUUUUGGCAUUUCAAGAUCCUCUUUAAGAUGAAAAAUGGAAGAUAUGUAAAAAUAACCUUCCCACAAAAGAUCCUCUACCCAGGAGGCUCUCAACCAACGACUCCUUUUGUCCCCUAUGUAAAGAAAAUGGAAAAAUCGUUGAUCAUCUUUACCUAAGUUGCACCUUUGCAAGACUAGUUUGGUUCGGAUCCCCACUUGUUCUCCACACGAAUUCCUUGAAUGGCACUUUUAUUUUCAACUGGAUACUUUAGUGGCUUCAAGAUAAUGAUAUUUCAACUGAGUUCUUAAGAAGUUUCUGCACGAAUAUGUCUUGCACCCUUUGCAUUAUUUGGAAGUCAAGAAACCACCUCAUCCUUCAAGAUCAUUAGAAGGUGUACCAACUCAAUAUUGGUCACUAUGUUGGAACACGGGGAGUUUGAUGUCGCAACUUAGGGAGCAGAGAGCAAGAAUUCCAAGACUGCCUUUAGUGUCGUGACACCACCAAGGGAUGUCACGACAUACCCCUGAAGCAACCUUGAAUAAGAGCAUACUACCUUCGAUGUCGCGACGCAGGCACUAGGGUGUCACAACACCAGUCUUGUAUGAAAAAUACUUACAAGCCAAGGGCAUUUUGGUCUGCACAAUCAAAUAUUAAACACGAGAGCGUUAGCUAACCUAGGGUUGAGGACGAUGACAACCCUAACUCUAUAAAUAGGCUCAUUUAACACUUGUUAUGGACAACUUUUCAUACUGUAUAAUUUUCCUUAUAGUUUCAGUUUUUAGUUUUUCCCUUUUCUUAGGUUUUAGGCUAUUUUCAGUUUUGCACUUGUUGGAAGAUCUGAUUUGUGGAACUCAAUCAACUCUUUUUGGAUUUCGUGCUUCAAUUAAAUACAAUUCAGGCUUCUCUUAAACUUUCA